rnacentral:rRNA from 1 species
GGGCCCGCACAAGCGGUGGAGCAUGUGGUUUAAUUCGAUGAUACGCGAGGAACCUUACCAGGGCUUAAAUGUUAGGUGACAGAUCUAGAAAUAGAUUUUUCUUCGGACACUUAACAAGGUGCUGCAUGGUUGUCGUCAGCUCGUGCCGUGAGGUGUCAGGUUAAGUCCUAUAACGAGCGCAACCCCUGUUGUUAGUUGCCAGCGAGUAAUGUCGGGAACUCUAGCAAGACUGCCAGUGCAAACUGUGAGGAAGGUGGGGAUGACGUCAAAUCAUCACGGCCCUUACGUCCUGGGCUACACACGUGCUACAAUGGUAGGUACAGAGAGCAGCCAAUGCGCGAGCAUGAGCAAAUCUAUAAAACCUAGUCGUAGUCCGGAUCGGAGUCUGCAACUCGACUCCGUGAAGUCGGAAUUGCUAGUAAUCG